rnacentral:rRNA from 1 species
AUUGAACGCCGGCGGCAUGCCUUACACAUGCAAGUCGAACGGUAACAGGUCUUCGGAUGCUGACGAGUGGCGAACGGGUGAGUAAUGCAUCGGAACGUGCCCAGUUGUGGGGGAUAACUGCUCGAAAGAGCAGCUAAUACCGCAUACGACCUGAGGGUGAAAGCGGGGGAUCGCAAGACCUCGCGCAAUUGGAGCGGCCGAUGUCAGAUUAGGUAGUUGGUGGGGUAAAGGCCUACCAAGGCGACGAUCAGUAGCUGGUCUGAGAGGACGACCAGCCACACUGGAACUGAGACACGGUCCAGACUCCUACGGGAGGCAGCAGUGGGGAAUUUUGGACAAUGGGGGCAACCCUGAUCCAGCCAUUCCGCGUGAGUGAAGAAGGCCUUUGGGUUGUAAAGCUCUUUCGCAAGGGAAGAAAACUUAUUCUCUAACAUAGGAUAAGGCUGACGGUACCUUGAUAAGAAGCACCGGCUAACUACGUGCCAGCCGCCGCAGUAAAAC